GGAUGCGAUCGUACCAGCACUAAAGCACCGGAUCCCAUCAGAACUCUGAAGUUAAACGUGCUUGGGCGAGAGUAGUACUAGGAUGGUGACCUCCUGGGAAGUCCUCGUGUUGCAUUCC
rnacentral:rRNA from 1 species